rnacentral:rRNA from 1 species
GAUGAACGCUGGCGGCGUGCCUAAUACAUGCAAGUCGAGCGAACAGAUGAGGAGCUUGCUCCUCUGACGUUAGCGGCGGACGGGUGAGUAACACGUGGAUAACCUACCUAUAUUUCUGGGAUAACUUCGGGAAACCGGCGCUAAUACCGUAUAAUCUAUUGAACCGCAUGGUUCAAUAGUGAAAGACGGCUUUGCUGUCACUUAUAGCUGGAUCCGCGCUGCAUUAGCUAGUUGGUAAGGUAACGGCAUACCAAGGCAACGAUGCGUAGACGACCUGAGAGAGUGGUCGGCCACACUGGAACUGAGACAGGGACCAGACUACUACGGGAGGCAGCAGAAGGGAAUCUUACGCAAUAGGAGAAAGCCUGACAGAGCAACGCCACGUGAGUGAUGAAGGUCUUCGGAUCGUAAAACUCUGUUAUUGGGGAAGAACAAAUGUGUAAGGAACUAUGCACGUCUUGACGGUACCUAGUCAGAAAGCAACGGCUAACUACGUG